rnacentral:rRNA from 1 species
AUUGAACGCUGGCGGCAGGCCUAACACAUGCAAGUCGAGCGGAUGAGUGGAGCUUGCUCCAUGAUUCAGCGGCGGACGGGUGAGUAAUGCCUAGGAAUCUGCCUGGUAGUGGGGGACAACGUUUCGAAAGGAACGCUAAUACCGCAUGUAGUUGAGAGAGACUAGGUUUCGGCUAUCACUUUAGGAUGGACCCGCGGUGCAUUAGUUAGUUGGUGAGGUAAAGGCUCACCAAGACCGUGAUGCAUAGCCGACCUGAGAGGGUAAUCGGCCACACUGGGACUGAGACACGGCCCAGACUCCUACGGGAGGCAGCAGUAGGGAAUCUUCCACAAUGGACGAAAGUCUGAUGGAGCAACGCCGCGUGAGUGAAGAAGGUUUUCGGAUCGUAAAACUCUGUUGUUGGAGAAGAAUGUAUCUGAUAGUAACUGAUCAGGUAGUGACGGUAUCCAACCAGAAAGCCACGGCUAACUACGU